GGUUCUGUAGUGUAGCGGUUAUCACGUUUGCUUUACACGCAAAAGGUCCUGAGUUCGAUCCUCAGCAGAAUCA